rnacentral:misc_RNA from 1 species
GAUGAAGAACGUAGCGAAAUGCGAUAAGUAAUGUGAAUUGCAGAAUUCAGUGAAUCAUCGAAUCUUUGAACGCACCUUGCACCCUUUGGCAUUCCGAAGGGUAUGCUCGUUUGAGUGUCAUUGUACUCUCACACUCCCACUCUUUUGGAUUGGGAGCGGUGGACUUGGGUGUUGCUGCUUCACUGUGGCUCGCCUCAAAUGGAGUAGUGCAACUCUCGGUUGGACAUAGUACGGCGUGAUAAGUGUCUUCGCCGGCGCCUCACUAGAGGGUGGCCGAUCGGGAGCUCUGUGCUUCAAACCGUCUUCGGACAAUCUCUGACAACUUGACCUCAAAUCGAGUAGGACUACCCGCUGAACUUAAGCAUAUCAAUAAGCGGGGA